rnacentral:misc_RNA from 1 species
CUGAAGUGACAAAGUCGGUCGACUGUGCUGGUGGAAACGCAUGUGCACGUCGGUCGCAAACAUCCACACACCUGUGAACAUUUGGCUUUGGGCUUGGUUGGGGUUGUCCUUGGGCGCCCACUCGCCCGGGCACAUUUUUACAUGCUCUGUUUGUAAAGGAAUGUAAUUGCGCUGAUGUGCAAAAUAUA